GAUAAUUCACUACAUUUAGAAAAAUCAAAAAAAGCUCCAGCAUUCCUUCCCUGUUCCUGGUACCGCUAGCUACCCUUCGAACUGAAAUCUAACCCAGCACAGUGGUGUGAGAAGAAAGACGCACAGAGUGGAUUUCAAGACGGAAAGGGUUGCACGAAUGUUGACCUUCCUAAACAUGCAACUGCAUUUCUUCUUCAAGCCAGGGAAACCCAUUUGACUGACACAGCAAAUGUCUGCUCAAACGGGCAGUCUGAGAUCUUUCCUUCAACGACGUCAACGAGCACAAAAGCCUCUUUUUGCUCCCUUCAUCUGAGCCCCUGAAGACCCAAUGGAUGGAUUUUAUUUUUGCUAGAAAUGUACCCACAAAACCUCCCAAAGUCUUUUAUGUGUGCACCCGGCAUUUCACAGAGGACUGCUUUCUCAACAUGGGUGCAUACAAAGCAGGUUUCGUUAAAACAGCUGAAGAUGAAGAAUGGAUCGGCACCAACUGUCCGUGACACAACUCCAAAGAGAGCUGUUAACCAAAUGGUGAGUGCAGUCCAGCUAUAUCAGACCGCAUUAUUGGAGCACCUAAAACAACAAAUGAGUAACAAAUGUUUGAGAGACAUUGUGGGGACCUGGAUCAACUAAAGAGUGGUGCAAUGGUGGUAUUUGACCAGAUUGUUCACCCUCUCAGUAUAAUUUUUUCCACCAAUUUGCAGGACAAGACCAUCAAAAAACUGUUAAAACCAGUUGAACCAGAGAUUAUUGUCACAAAAUAAACGGCAUGUUAU